AGCUACAGAGAUGGAGAGAGAGAGGAACAGAACAAACAAACAACGCGCUCAUCCACAACAUCGAUAAUCUCCCUUUUUGUUACGUGCUUUGAGCUGGUUCGUAACAAUUUUGAAGACUCCCAUCCUGAGCGACCCACAGAAGCAACCAGGGUCAACGCCCUGCUCAAGGACACAGAUCUCCCAUCAGGUCAAAAACGGGGACGGAAAAACGGAAAUCUGUGAGGUGUCCUAUCUGUGGUCACAAGCAGAAGAUUAUCCGGUAUAAGUGCAAAGAUGGAUACAUUUGGUGGCUACAUGCAUCUCUGCGUGCCUGGCAGAUAUCUCAACUUGGAUGUCAGCCCACAACCUCAAGCUCAACCUCGACAAGACGGACCUGUUCUUCCUUCCCGGGAAGGCCUGCCUGCUCAAAGACCCCUCCCAGAGUGCAAAUAACCUUGACAUGACCCUGGACAAUACCCUGUCAUUCACCGCAAACAUCAAAGCAGUGACCUGCUCCUGCAGCUUCGUGCUCUACAACAUUCUUAGAGUACGACUGUCACAUCCUGACCAUAGAAAGCCUGUAUUUUCUAUGGUAGAGUAGGUCAGAGCGUGACUAGGGGUUUUAGUCUAGUUUAUAAUUUCUAUGUGGGGUUCUAGGCUUAAUUUUAUAUGUUGGUGUUUGUGUAUGAUUCCCAAUUAGAGGCAGCUGGUAAUCAUUGUCUCUACUUGGGGAUCAUACCUAAGUUGAAAUUUUUCCACCUGUGGGUUAUGGGAUAUUGUUUAUGUGUGUGUCUGAACACUACGUAGUCACGGGUCUUUGUAAGCUUUGUUAUUUUGUUUUCAGUUCCACUUAUUCAUUAAAAGAUGUGGAACUAUACUCACGCUGCGCCUUGGUCUGCUCAUUUAGAAGAAUGUGACAAUGACCUUACCUCCUGUCUGGACUACUGCAACUCGCUGUUGACUGUGCUCCCUGCUUGUGCCUUCAAACCAUUACAUUUUAUCCAGAAUGCAGUAGCCUGCCUGGUUUUCAACCUUCCCAAGUUCUCUCAUGUCACCCCGCUCCUCCGCACACUCUCUCAUGUCACCCCGCUCCUCCGUCCACUACAAGACCAUGGUGCUUACCUAUGGAACAGCAAGAAGAACUGUCCCUCGCUACCCUCAGGCUAUUCUGAAACCCUACACGCCAACCCGAGCACUCCGUUCUGCCACCUCAGGUCUCUUGGCCAUCCCAGUCCAAGCUCUUCUCUGUUCUGGCACCCCAAUGGUGGAACCAGCUUCCCCCUGAAGCUAGGACAGCAGAGUCCCUGCCCAUCUUCCGAAAACAUCUGAAACCAUAUCUCUUCAAACAGCAUCAUGAAUAUUCCUCCUCCUCACCUUUAAAAAAAAUAAUAAUAAUAAUGUCUGGCACAUGUCCACCCCCACCCCACCCCCCUUCUAGCUCUGACUCUACUGACAGCUACGUUAUUGAGGAAAAAAUAUCUUUCUAUGUCUGUGAUAUGUGGUUGUGAUAUGUGGUUGUCUCACCUAUCUUUAGAUGAAUGCAGCAACUGUAAGUCGCUCUGGAUAAGAGAGUCUGCUAAAUGACAAAAAUGUAGUAAUGCUACAGAUAUUUCUGUAGCUAAAUCCUUUUGUUGAAUGGAGAAAACAAGGGGGGACAUUGUUGCUUACCUCAAAUCAAAUACAAUUUAUUUGGCAUAUACGCUGUACACAACAGGUGUAGACUUGAAAUGCUUACCUUGAAAUGCUUACUUACGAGCCCUUUCCAAACAAUGCAGAGUUAAAAAGCAAGACAAAUUUGGAAA